rnacentral:rRNA from 1 species
UACGGGGGGGGCAAGCGUUGUUCGGAAUUACUGGGCGUAAAGGGCUCGUAGGCGGCCAACUAAGUCAGAUGUGAAAUCCCCAGGCUUAACCUGGGAACUGCAUCUGAUACUGGAUGGCUUGAAUCCGGGAGAGGGAUGCAGAAUUCCAGGUGUAGCGGUGAAAUGCGUAGAUAUCUGGAGGAACACCGGUGGCGAAGGCGGCAUCCUGGACCGGCAUUGACGCUGAGGCGCGAAAGCUAGGGGAGCAAACGGG